rnacentral:tRNA from 1 species
AAAGUUUUAGUAUAAAAUUUAUAAGUAUAAUCUAUUGUCAAUAGAUCGGUAAAAACUUUA